CUGAACCAAUGAAAGCCUUUCCCUCCGGAGCGGACUGCCAAUCAGCGAGCCCCGAAACUUUGGAGCGGUGACUCGUCAGUGUGAGGGAGCUACGGUGCCGAUGAGAAGACAGCAACAGAGCGAAGCCUGCGAAAUGUGAAACUGUUCCCAUCGGCAGCAGAGAGAAGCCGGGAAGCAAGAACCAGUGCUGGGAGAGCCCGCGGGAUGGGAACCAAUGAUAAACUGAUGGGAGACUGAGGGGGAAGGGCUUGAUGAAAAGCAUAAAGGGCCGGCUUUACCUUAUUGAAGGUGCGAGCAGGUGGUGGGGCUUCAGUUCCCCGGCUGCCCAGCGUGCUGCAGCACACUGCUUUACUUACAUCUCUCUCAAUAAAAAGUUUUUAAACAUGUCA